rnacentral:rRNA from 1 species
UACGAGGGAUCCUAGCGUUGUUCGGGAUCAUUGGGCGUAAAGGGUGUGUAGGCGGCCAUGUAAGUCAGUUGUGAAAGCCCCGGGCUCAACCCGGGAAGUGCUUCUGAUACUGCUUGGCUUGAGUAUUGGAGAGGUGAGUGGAAUUCCAGGUGUAGUGGUGAAAUACGUAGAUAUCUGGAGGAACACCGGCGGCGAAGGCGGCUCACUGGCCAUAUACUGACGCUGAAACACGAAAGCGUGGGUAGCAAACAGG